UAUAAGGAGUCGAACCUGCCCGGUGACUAUAUUGUUAAACGGCCGCGGUACCCUAACCGUGCAAAGGUAGCAUAAUCAUUUGCCUUUUAAUUGGAGGCUGGUAUGAAUGGUUUGACGAGAGCUAUGCUGUCUCUCUUGGAAUAUUUAAAAAUUAACUUUUAGGUGAAGAGGCCUAAAUUUGUUUAAGGGACAAGAAGACCCUGUUGAGCUUUAGUAAAGUUGUAAAUAUAUUACGUAGUGUAGUAAGCUAUGCUACUUAUUGUGUAUUAAUUAUACAAGAAGGUUUACAAUUAAUCUUUUGUUGGGGGCGACUGAGGAACAUAAAAAGCUUCCUUAAUUUAAAAACAUUAGUGUGAUGUAAUAAAAUUUAUAAAUGCGUUUAUGUUAUUUUGAUCCAAUUUGUUUUGAUUAAAAGAAAAAGUUACCACAGGGAUAACAGCGUAAUCUUUCUGGAGAGAUCUAAUCGAAAGAAGGGUUUGCGACCUCGAUGUUGGACUAAGAUAUCCUAAGGGUGCAGAAGCUCUGAAGGUUGGUCUUCG
rnacentral:rRNA from 1 species